GCUGCUUCUCUUACAGAUCUUUUUAAGUUUUGAACAUAAGAAUUAUCACUAUCUUGUGGUGUAUUAUCUAAGCGACUAUUUGACAAAGGCUGGUCCAGAGAGUUCCUUUCAGACAUAUUUUCCAUCUGGUUGAUUUGGGGAGCUACAGUUUGUCUCUUUUGCAUGUUUCCACCUUUUCCUGAAGAAUUUGGGGUCAAACUGAAUAACUGUGGUAGUUUUAAAGCAGGGGGACUAGCAGACACCUUGUCAAGAUGAACAGCGGACAUUUUUGAGGUCACCUCAGCAACAUCAUCUGAGCUACUUUCCAGGGUCCUUCCACUGCUCUGAGCCUGUGUAGGUGAUGUUGCUCGGCCACGAUGCUUGGGCAUGGGUGGAAGGCUGGAGGAUAUAUUAUUUACCUUCUCUGUACACUCAGCUAUUGACUUUUGUAUUGCU
rnacentral:misc_RNA from 1 species